rnacentral:lncRNA from 1 species
ACAGAUACUACCUGGCACGAUGAAUGUGGCAUUAGCCGUCCUCAUAACAACAAUCUGAUAAAUCAGUCCCUUGGCAACUUGUGUGGAUCUGGCAAAGAACCUGUUAUUAAACUGGUUGUUUGACUGAUUUAAUUGAGUGAUUUGCAUUUGCUCUUCUUAUCCUUUUGGUCGUUAGGAGGGAGUUAAUUUUGUAACAAAUCUUCAUUGUUGCCUGGUUGACUCUGGAGGAAUCUUCGGCCUGCAUGAAGCAUAGUGUGCUGCUGCGAGAUGAUUAUUGCUGCAGUUUUAUCCCCAGCAUUAAGGGAAGCUUAGUGGUUAGCAAAGGAAGAACAUGAAUUUUGGAGGCGAGAAAAAAAUGAUCUUAAAUACUAGUUUGACAUUUUUCUUGAGUGAACAUUGUCACAUUAUUUUACGUAUGGAUUAUAACAGACCCUUGAAAUAUUUAAGGAACAAUCUUGAGGCAUGGGAAUACUCAAAUGCAAGAAUACUACCAGAAUAUUUCUGGAGAGCUACAAUAGAGAGGCAGUCGUUGGACAUUUUUUCUAGAAUUCUCUAGACUCAUCACCUUGGAAGGAAGAAGCCAGAUCACAAUUGCCUGUUCACCCCUCCUCACUCCUCCCUCUUCUUGAUUCUCUAUGAGUGACUUCUAAGAACAGUUACAGUUGAAGAAGGAGACCAAUUUUUCAUCUACCAAGUAUCACAGAUUAGGCAUAAAAUCAUUAGAAAUAGAUUUUCCUUUCUGCAUCCUUUAGUAAGUGUUUAAAAAUAGAUACCAUUUUGGUGUCUCAUCUUGGCUGUAGUGAAUGGUAGAGUCAAAAUAAUAGGUUUGUGAAGACAAGAGCUGGAAGUGAAAGAUAACGAGAAGUUUGUACAGUGUGUUAUCAGAAUAGCUUGAGUGCAGUUCAUUUGAACAAAGUAAUGUUUUCAUUUCUCCAUUGUUUACCUGUGCUUAACCCGCAGUGUUGAGGAAAU